rnacentral:rRNA from 1 species
UUGUAGAGGGGGGUAGAAUUCCAGGUGUAGCGGUGAAAUGCGUAGAGAUCUGGAGGAAUACCGGUGGCGAAGGCGGCCCCCUGGACAAAGACUGACGCUCAGGUGCGAAAGCGUGGGGAGCAAACAGGAUUAGAUACCCUGGUAGUCCACGCCGUAAACGAUGUCGAUUUGGAGGUUGUGCCCUUGAGGCGUGGCUUCCGGAGCUAACGCGUUAAAUCGACCGCCUGGGGAGUACGGCCGCAAGGUUAAAACUCAAAUGAAUUGACGGGGGCCCGCACAAGCGGUGGAGCAUGUGGUUUAAUUCGAUGCAACGCGAAGAACCUUACCUGGUCUUGACAUCCACAGAACUUUCCAGAGAUGGAUUGGUGCCUUCGGGAACUGUGAGACAGGUGCUGCAUGGCUGUCGUCAGCUCGUGUUGUGAAAUGUUGGGUUAAGUCCCGCAACGAGCGCAACCC